CCUACGGGUGGCUGCAGUGGGGAAUAUUGGACAAUGGGGGGAACCCUGAUCCAGCCAUGCCGCGUGUGUGAAGAAGGCCCUCGGGUUGUAAAGCACUUUCAGUGAGGAAGAACGCCUGGUGGUUAAUACCCAUCAGGAAAGACAUCACUCACAGAAGAAGCACCGGCUAACUCCGUGCCAGCAGCCGCGGUAAUACGGAGGGUGCGAGCGUUAAUCGGAAUUACUGGGCGUAAAGCGCGCGUAGGUGGCUUGAUAAGCCGGUUGUGAAAGCCCCGGGCUCAACCUGGGAACGGCAUCCGGAACUGUCAAGCUAGAGGGCAGGAGAGGAAGGUAGAAUUCCCGGUGUAGCGGUGAAAUGCGUAGAGAUCGGGAGGAAUACCAGUGGCGAAGGCGGCCUUCUGGACUGACACUGACACUGAGGUGCGAAAGCGUGGGUAGCAAACAGGAUUAGAUACCCGUGUAGUC
rnacentral:rRNA from 1 species